rnacentral:rRNA from 1 species
UACGUAGGGAGCAAGCGUUGUCCGGAAUCAUUGGGCGUAAAGCGCGCGUAGGUGGUUUGUUAAGUUGGAUGUGAAAGCCCCGGGCUCAACCUGGGAACUGCAUCCAAAACUGGCAAGCUAGAGUACGGUAGAGGGUGGUGGAAUUUCCUGUGUAGCGGUGAAAUGCGUAGAUAUAGGAAGGAACACCAGUGGCGAAGGCGACCACCUGGACUGAUACUGACACUGAGGCGCGAAAGCGUGGGGAGCAAACAGG